AAGCGUCGGUAAGGUGAUAUGAACCGUUAUAACCGGCGAUUUCCGAAUGGGGAAACCCAGUGUGAUUCGUCACACUAUCAUUAACUGAAUCCAUAGGUUAAUGAGGCGAACCGGGGGAACUGAAACAUCUAAGUACCCCGAGGAAAAGAAAUCAACCGAGAUUCCCCCAGUAGCAGCGAGCGAACGGGGAGGAGCCCAGAGCCUGAAUCAGUGUGUGUGUUAGUGGAAGCGUCUGGAAAGGCGCGCGAUACAGGGUGACAGCCCCGUACACAAAAAUGCACAUGCUGUGAGCUCGAUGAGUAGGGCGGGACACGUGGUAUCCUGUCUGAAUAUGGGGGGACCAUCCUCC
rnacentral:rRNA from 1 species